AACGAACGCUGGCGGCAGGCCUAACACAUGCAAGUCGAACGGGUGUAGCAAUACAUCAGUGGCGCACGGGUGAGUAACACGUGGGAACGUACCCUUCAUUACGGAACAACGUCGGGAAACUGACGCUAAUACCGUAUAAUGUCUCCGGACCAAAGAUUUAUCGAUGAAGGAUCGGCCCGCGUCUGAUUAGCUAGUUGGUGAGGUAAUGGCUCACCAAGGCGACGAUCAGUAGCUGGUCUUAGAGGAUGAUCAGCCACACUGGGACUGAGACACGGCCCAGACUCCUACGGGAGGCAGCAGUGAGGAAUCUUGGACAAUGGGCGCAAGCCUGAUCCAGCCAUGCCGCGUGAGUGAUGAAGGCCUUAGGGUUGUAAAGCUCUUUUGCCGGGGAUGAUAAUGACCGUACCCGGAGAAUAAGCCACGGCUAAAAUUCGUGCCAGCAGCCGCGGUAAAACGUCUAACUG
rnacentral:rRNA from 1 species